rnacentral:lncRNA from 1 species
UUCUUCAUUCAGUUGUUUCUGCUUUCAUCAGAACUUUGAUCAUAGCAUUCUAAGAUUCUAGCUCUAAUAUCUUAUACUUUGCCAAAGAGUGCUUCUGUCCAAGCAUCGCACAUCGGGUGACACAAUUUUGAAUUGUUGCAUCUCUUUGCUCCACGACCACCUGUCGUUCUUCAGCCUGCUCUUCUAACUCAUGAAUACGAUUUUAUAAUUCUAAAUUUUGAUCAUAAAAUUCUUCUAAUAAAUUCUCCUCAGGUUCCUUUUCUUCCUCACUCUCAGCUGCUACCUCUGCAACUAGCUCGAGUGCAAUUAUUAG